rnacentral:rRNA from 1 species
CAGCCGCCGCGGUAAUACGUAGGUCCCGAGCGUUGCCCGGAUUUAUUGGGCGUAAAGCGAGCGCAGGCGGUUUGAUGAGUCUGAAGUUAAAGGCUGUGGCUCAACCAUAGUUCGCUUUGGAAACUGUCAAACUUGAGUGCAGAAGGGGAGAGAGGAAUUCCAUGUGUAGCGGUGAAAUGCGUAGAUAUAUGGAGGAACACCGGUGGCGAAAGCGGCUCUCUGGUCUGUAACUGACGCUGAGGCUCGAAAGCGUGGGGAGCGAACAGGAUUAGAUACCCGAGUAGUCCCUGUCUCUUAUACA